rnacentral:rRNA from 1 species
AUACGGAGGGGGCAAGCGUUGUUCGGAAUUACUGGGCGUAAAGAGUACGUAGGCGGAUCGUUAAGUUAGAGGUGAGAUCCCAGGGCUCAACCCUGGAACUGCCUUUAAUACUGGCGAUCUAGAGAUCGAGAGAGGUGAGUGGAAUUUCCAGUGUAGAGGUGAAAUUCGUAGAUAUUGGAAAGAACACCAGUGGCGAAGGCGGCUCACUGGCUCGAUACUGACGCUGAGGUACGAAAGCGUGGGGAGCGAACAGGAUUAGAAACCCUAGUAGUCC